rnacentral:rRNA from 1 species
AAGCGUUCAUGACCAGACUUGGGCAGGUUGAUCAUCCGUGGUUCUCCGCGGUGCACUCUGCCUGCCCAGGCCAGCAUCAGUUUGCUUCGGGGGAUAAAGGCUUCGGGAAUGUGGCUCCUUCGGGAGUGUUAUAGCCCGUUGUGUAAUACCCUGAGGCAGACUGAGGUUCGCGCUCUGCAAGGAUGCUGGCGUAAUGGUCAUCA